AUCCAGCUGACGAGUUCCGAAUAAGACGAAACGCGCAUCCUUGAU
rnacentral:hammerhead_ribozyme from 1 species